AUGGGGAGAGCAUCGGGCGCUACUGGCCCACCAAUAUUGCCUCUCAGAGUGGCUGUGUUGGUUCAUGCAACUACAGAGGAUCUUACUCUUCCAGCAAAUGCUUGAAGAACUGCGGUAAGCCAUCACAGCAGCUGUAUCACGUCCCUCGCUCACUGAUCCAAUCUAGUGGGAACACAUUGGUUCUCUUUGAGGAGAUGGGGGGUGAUCCGACUCUAAUAUCGUUUGCUACAAGGCAGACAACAAGUUUAUGCGCCCAUGUAUCGGAGUCUCAUCCCGCUCCUAUGGACGUCUGGAUGUCUUCACAACAAGGAGGGAAGAGAUCAGGUCCAAUGCUCAGCUUGGAAUGUCCUAAUCCCAG
rnacentral:misc_RNA from 1 species